UCCGCCCUUCUUGCUGCUAUGAGCUUCCUCAAAAGUUUCCCUCCCCCCGAGCCGGCUGAGGGGCUCCGGCAGCAGCAGCCAGAUACCGAGGCCGUGCUGAACGGGAAGGGUCUCGGCACCGGCACCCUUUACAUCGCCGAGAGCCGCCUGUCUUGGUUAGAUGGCUCUGGAUUAGGAUUCUCACUGGAAUACCCCACCAUUAGUUUACAUGCGGUGUCUCGGGACCUAAAUGCCUAUCCACGAGAGCAUUUGUAUGUUAUGGUAAAUGCCAAAUUUGGAGAAGAAUCAAAAGAAUCUGUGGCUGAUGAAGAAGAGGAAGACAGUGAUGAUGAUGUUGAACCUAUUACUGAAUUUAGAUUUGUGCCUAGUGAUAAAUCAGCAUUGGAGGCAAUGUUCACUGCAAUGUGUGAAUGCCAGGCCUUGCAUCCAGAUCCUGAGGAUGAAGAUUCAGAUGAUUACGAUGGAGAUGAAUAUGAUGUGGAAGCACAUGAACAAGGACAAGGGGACAUCCCUACAUUUUACACCUAUGAAGAAGGACUAUCUCAUUUAACAGCAGAAGGCCAAGCCACAUUGGAGAGAUUAGAAGGAAUGCUUUCUCAGUCUGUGAGCAGCCAGUUUAAUAUGGCUGGGGUCAGGACAGAAGAUUCAAUAAGAGAUUAUGAAGACGGGAUGGAGGUAGAUACCGCACCAACGGUUGCUGGACAGUUUGAGGAUGCAGAUGUUGAUCACUGAAAAUGAUUUAUGCUGCUUGAAGAUUCUGCUCAUAACUAUAGGAGAGAACUUGGUGCCUCUUCCAUUCUGGAGUGGGUUGAUGAAAGUCUCUUUCUUUCUCCAAAACUCACCUGAACCAGUUCUUUCUUGAGACAGACUGUACUGAGACAACAAGUUGCCACCAGCAGAAGAAACUAUGACCUUUAUUAACGAAGGUGAAUUAACUUAACCAAGAGGGUGUUUGUAGUUUAUUAUUUACCCCCAAACUCUGUGUCUAGAUACCCUCUGAGGAGGUCUGUAAUUCCUGCCUUCACUGUAUGCAUUUUCUAUAAGGCCUGUGUGGUGGAAAUGCACAGAAACUUGGAGGUGUAAGUAGACUGGGUGGGAAAGAGAGAGGUUGAAGCUAAGAUGUGCUUCUUUGGGGCUUAAGGAUACCCAUAUCCCUAAAAAGUAAGAUCUCAGAGGAAUCCUAGCCUCUGCUCAUUCUCCACAGGGGCAAUAAUCUUCUACUAAUUUGGGGCCCAGAUUUACUAAUUCAGGCAUUUGUAGGUAGCCUCUUUGGAAAUAUUCCAGCCAUAUACACUGUCCCUGACACAAGUGCUUCUGACUAGCUUUUGCUUUUCUCACCAUGUUUCAUCAGUCUGCUCUGUUACAACCUCUUGGGUUAUAUCCUCUAGUUUCCAACAUCUUAGGUUACUUUCUGUAACAAAACAAGUGAAACUGGGAUGAAAUCCUCAAAGUACUUCAAAUGGUAAUUGUUUUGCCUUUGUGAUAGCUUAACAAAUAAAUCUAGGUU